CCUACGGGGGGCUGCAGUGGGGAAUAUUGGGCAAUGGAGGCAACUCUGACCCAGCAACGUCGCGUGAAUGAUGAAGGUCUUCGGAUUGUAAAGUUCUGUGAUGGGGGAUGAACACAAUGACGGUACCCAAAUAGCAAGCCACCGCUAACUACGUGCCAGCAGCCGCGGUAAUACGUAGGUGGCACGCGUUAUACGUAAUGACGGGGCGUAAAGGGUGCGUAGGUGGUUAAGUAAGUUGGCGGUGUAAUUCCGGGGCUCAACCUCGGCGCUACCGCCAAAACUAUUAGACUAGAGUGCAGGAGGGGUAAGUGGAAUUCCUAGUGUAGCGGUGGAAUGCGUAGAGAUUAGGAGGAACAUCAGGGGCGAAGGCGACUUACUGGACUGUAACUGACACUGAGGCACGAAAGCGUGGGGAGCAAACAGGAUUAGAUACCCUAAUAGUC
rnacentral:rRNA from 1 species